rnacentral:rRNA from 1 species
AUUGAACGCUGGCGGCAGGCCUAACACAUGCAAGUCGAGCGGAUGAAGGGAGCUUUCUCCUGGAUUCAGCGGCGGACGGGUGAGUAAUGCCUAGGAAUCUGCCUGGUAGUGGGGGAUAACGUCCGGAAACGGGCGCUAAUACCGCAUACGUCCUGAGGGAGAAAGUGGGGGAUCUUCGGACCUCACGCGAUCAGAUGAGCCUAGGUCGGAUUAGCUAGUUGGUGGGGUAAGGGCCUACCAAGGCGACGAUCCGUAACUGGUCUGAGAGGAUGAUCAGUCACACUGGAACUGAGACACGGUCCAGACUCCUACGGGAGGCAGCAGUGGGGAAUAUUCCACAAUGGGCGAAAGCCUGAUCCAGCCACGCCGCGUGUGUGAAGAAGGUCUUCGGAUUGUAAAGCUCUUUUAGUUGGGAGGAAGGGAAGUAAGUUAAUCCCUUGCUGUUUUGACGUUACCAACAGAAUAAGCACCGGCUAACUUCGUG